rnacentral:sRNA from 1 species
GCUGGCUGUGGUGGUGCACGCCUGUAAUCCCAGUGGCUUGGGAGGCUGAGGCAGGAGGAUUGUGAGUUCAAAGCCAGCCUCAGCAACUUAGCAAGACUCUGGGCAACGUAGUGAGACUCUGUCUCAA